rnacentral:rRNA from 1 species
UACGGAGGGGGCGAGCGUUAUUCGGAAUUAUUGGGCGUAAAGGGCGCGUAGGCGGCCUGGUAAGUCAAAGGUGAAAUCCCUCGGCUCAACUGAGGAACUGCCUUUGAAACUGUCAGGCUUGAGGCCGGGAGGGGGUGGCGGAAUUCCCAGUGUAGCGGUGAAAUGCGUAGAUAUUGGGAGGAACACCAGUGGCGAAGGCGGCCACCUGGACCGGUUCUGACGCUGAUGCGCGAAAGCGUGGGGAGCAAACAGG